GAUGAAGAACGUAGCGAAAUGCGAUAAGUAAUGUGAAUUGCAGAAUUCAGUGAAUCAUCGAAUCUUUGAACGCACAUUGCGCCCAUUAGUAUUCUAGUGGGCAUGCCUGUUCGAGCGUCAUUUCAACCCUUAAGCCUAGCUUAGUAUUGGGAAUCGACUUUACUGUCGUUCCUCAAAUUCAACGGCGGAUUUAUAGCAAUCUCUGAACGUAGUAAUUUUUUUCCUCGUUUUUGAAAUACUAUAAACCUCAGCCGCUAAACCCCCAAUUUUUUUAUGGUUGACCUCGGAUCAGGUAGGAAUAGCCGCUGAACUUAAGCAUAUCAAUAAGCGGAGGA
rnacentral:misc_RNA from 1 species